GUCUGAUGGAUCGACACCGCGUGAAGGAUGAAGGUCUAACGACUGUAAACUUCUUUUCUGAAGGAGCAUAAUGAGAGUACUUCAGGAAUAAGGGACGGCUAAAUACGUGCCAGCAGCCGCGGUAAUACGUGUGUCCCAAGCGUUACCCGGAAUUAUUGGGUGUAAAGGGUCUGUAGGUGGGAAAGCAAGUCAGGUAUGAAAGACCGAAGCUCAACUUCGUGUUUGUGCAUGAAACUACUUUUCUAGAAUCAGGGAGAGGUAAGCGGAAUUCUUAGUGUAGGAGUGCAAUCCGUAGAUACUAAGAAGAACACCAAAAGCGAAGGCAGCUUACUGGAACUGUAUUGACACUGAGGGACGAAAGCAUGGGGAGCGAAGAGGAUUAGAUACCCUCGUAGUCCAUGCCCUAAACGAUGAUAACUAAGUGUUGCGCAUUGGCGCAGUGCUGGAGCUAACGCGUUAAGUUAUCCACCUGAGGAGUACGAUCGCAAGAUUAAAACUCAAAGGAAUAGACGGGGACCUACACAAGCAGUGGAUCACGUGGUUUAAUUCGACAAUAAACGGGGAAUCUCACCCAGACUUGACAUCCUGAGAGUACACUGGAAACAGAGUAGUGCCCGCAAGGGAGCUCAGUGACAGGUGCUGCAUGGUUGUCGUCAGCUCGUGCCUUGAGGUGUUCGGUUAAGUCCGUUAACGAGCGUACCCAUGNUUCUUAGUUA
rnacentral:rRNA from 1 species